ACCUUUGCCAGGGACCUGCAGCUCCGUCCCUUUCCGCGUCGCCUGCACCCACCCCCCCCACCCCGCCCCCGGCGAUCGCCAGUCCCCCGGUAGCGCUGGCCAAGGCCGCUGGCGGCGGUGGGUUUCCUGCGCUUCGGGACGGCGGGAGAAGAGCAAUCCUUGUGUCCCGGGGCACAGAGCACGGUCAUCCGCGCAGAGGACCAUCCCUGGCGGCAGACCCUCACCAGUCCUCCCGGUGUCCACACCCCGGCGCCCGCGUCGUCUGCGCGCCCACAUUCGCUCCGCCGCGCGCAGCUCCCACGCCCCUGGCUGCUGCCUGCCGGGCGACGGAUCCGCCUCCCCGGUUGGACCGUGAGGGUCGUCGGCGGCGUCUUUAAGGCUGCGUCCCCGCCCCUGCCUCCUCCCCGCUCUCCCCCGCCCUCGCUUCUCCAGACCUCCCUGGAGCUGGCGGCGGCGAGGAGCAGGUGCCGGCGAAGCCUUCGCAUGCCGCUGCCCGGCCCGAGGUGGUAGCGGCGCCCGGCGCUCCGCCUGCCCUCCUCCGGGCCGCACUUGGCUCCUGCGCGCGCGGGGACAUGUCGGUGGCGACGGGCAGCAGCGAGGCGGCCGGCGGAGCCGCGGGCAGCGGUGCGCGGGUUUUCUUCCAGAGUCCCCGGGGCGGUGCCGGCGGCAGCCCGGGCUCGAGCAGCGGCUCGGGCUCCUCCCGGGAGGACUCGGCGCCCGUGGCCACCGCGGCUCCCGCCGGGCACGUUCAGCAGCAGCAGCAGCAGCAGCAGCGGCGCCACCAGCAGGGAAAAGUGACGGUAAAAUACGAUCGCAAGGAGCUUCGGAAACGGCUCGUGCUGGAGGAGUGGAUCGUGGAGCAGCUGGGACAGCUGUAUGGCUGCGAGGAAGAAGAAAUGCCCGAUGUGGAAAUUGACAUUGAUGAUCUUCUUGAUGCAGACAGUGAAGAAGACAGGGCUUUAAAAUUACGAGAAGCUCUUGUAGACUGCUACAAACCAACAGAGGAGUUCAUUAAGGAGCUGCUCUCUCGGAUAAGAGGCAUGAGGAAAUUGAGCCCCCCACAGAAGAAGGCUGUAUAAUUCCAGCCCAGGUGGAACUCUGCUGGAGAUGCAGGGAGGAAUUUGGACUUCACGAAGACUUUUCUUAAAGAACUGUUGUCCUUAUGAGCAACUUUUUUGGGGGUGGGGAGGGGUGAUAUCUAUUAGACAUUUAUUCAAGAGUGUUCCUUUUUUGGUUUUUAAAGGUUUGGUUGGUGUAAUAUUUUAAUAGCAAAGAUAUCACAGACUCUGGCUUCAGCCCAACCAGAGAGCAUCAAAUCAGGCAGACACGCAAGGAGGGGCUGGACCAGGCAGCAUCUUCUUGGAGAAACCAGAUAUUAAGGACCUAAUGAUACAGGGAUGAUGGUUUUCUUACAGCUAGUUUGGUAAUGCUUUUUUCUUGAGUUGUACAUUUGACACAAAGGUCAAAUUUCUUGUACUUGUAUAUAUCUACAGGCAACUAAGUUAAAAUGUGGAUGUGAGUUUUAUUUCACAUGGAUGGAAUAAACUUGUGGUCAUCCUUUAAUUGGAGGUCAUGGCAUGUGUGUUUUCAAAAGGCCGCUAGGUCUUCUCAUGUGAGUGCUGGAGACCGCCAAUGUUCACUUUCUGCACCAAAGUGAAAAGAACUCAGCGUAUCCGUUAUUUUAAUGAGCUACACUACGACAAUGUGGAGUUGGUCAAGGGCUUAAUUUAUGGACUUUGUAUUAUUCUGUUAAUCGGGAUGCUUCGCCAGGUCAUGUACUUAUUGCCUCAUUUGUGGUAUUUUAAAGUUUUCUGAACCCUUUCUUUGAAUGACUAUUUGAAUUUCUCGAGAAACGUUCACACUAUCUGAGGGGUGUUUGGCGGUGGAACCAGGAAGCACCGUGUAGCAAUUCAUUCUGUGCUUUCUACCAAAUACCAUAUAUUAUUCUCUCUCCAUGAAAGCAGGUCAUAAGGAAGUGAGCAGAUUCAAUAUCUUCCUCCUUAGAGGUAGAUCUGGGCACUUCUGUGCCUGGGGGGCAUCAAACCAGAGUGGGUGAGCUGAGCGAUGAGUGGGUGUACAACUGAGAAAACCUCGGCUCCUCUGGAGAAAGUCAAUGCAGGAGCAUUGGCUGGUUUGGAAGUGUGGUAGAGAUUUCCUUUCUGGCUUCUCUCAGUGGCUUAUGGUGAGGACUCUGGCCCUAAUUGUGCACCCUGAUCUGAUCCCUUUGCUUGGAGCUGAGCCUGGGGCACCUGCUGAGCCCCUCUCAGUUUUAUACCAGCUCCUUGGAGAAGGAUCAAAAUGCAGCUGAAUGUGGGUGGGGUCAAAGGUCAGAGUAGAAACUCUUGGUGUCCUCCAGGAAGCCGCCACUGCCUCCCAUAGAAACCCCCCUCCCUACUGUAAGGUGUCUCUAGGUGGCCCUGUCAGAGGACAGGGGUCAGGCAUUUUAUAUCAAGGGUGCUCUGAACAUAUUUUAUUUUUUAAAAAAACUAUGUUUGUGAAUUUUAUGUACACUGGCAAGCUUUGAAAAUGUAUUUAAUUUUGUAAUGUUUACCAAUGAUUUAUUUACAAGCUAUUUACUCAAAUAAACAAAGCUGCUUACAA